rnacentral:rRNA from 1 species
UCAAGCAAAACGCAUUUAAAGUUUGACCCCCCGAAACUAAGCGAGCUACUUUAAAACAGCCUCCAAGGGCCAACCCGUCUCUGUANCAAAAGAGUGGGAAGAUUUUAAAGUAGAGGUGACACACCUAUCGAGCCUAGAGAUAGCUGGUUAUUCAAGAAAAGGAUUUUAGUCCACCUUUAAGUUUCUUAAUUACUACUAAACACCCCAUAAACUUAAAAGUCACUCAAAUAGGGUACAGCCUAUUUGAGCCAGGAAACAACCUCUAACACAGGGUAAUGAUCUACUACAUGUGACUAAGUAGGCCUAAAAGCAGCCAACUUCCAAAUAGCGUCCAAGCUUUACCACUAACCAUUUCUAAUACCAUCAUUUCCACACAACCCCCAACCUCUACUGAAUGACCCCAUACCAAUAUGGGACACAUUAUGCUAGAACUAGUAACAAGAAGAAGAACUUCUCCAAAAUUUAAGCGUAAGCCAAAAUGAACAAUUCAUCGGCACUUAUCGCCAUCAGACCCACAGUAUUAACCCCACAAGAAAACUCUACUAUACCUGGCGUUAACCUUACACUAGACCAUUACUGGAAAGAUUGAAAAAGGGGGAAGGAACUCGGC